rnacentral:rRNA from 1 species
AGUGGCGGACGGGUGAGUAACGCGUGAGUAACCUGCCUUUGGGAGGGGAAUAGCAUAGGGAAACUUAUGAUAAUACCCCAUAACAUCUAGUAACCGCAUGGUAGCUAGAUCAAAGAUUUAUCGCCCAGAGAUGGACUCGCGUCCGAUUAGGUAGUUGGAGAGGUAAUGGCUCACCAAGCCUACGGUCGGUAGCCGGACUGAGAGGUUGAACGGCCACAUUGGGACUGAGACACGGCCCAGACUCAUACGGGAGGCAGCAGUGGGGAAUAUUGCGCAAUGGGGGAAACCCUGACGCAGCAACGCCGCGUGAAGGAUGAAGGCCUUCGGGUUGUAAACUUAAAUAACCAAGGACGAUAAUGACGGUACUUGGCUAAAAGCCACGGCUAACUACGUGCCAGCAGCCGCGGUAAUACGUAGGUGGCAAGCGUUGUCCGGAAUUACUGGGUGUAAAGGGCGCGUACGCGGGUAAAUAAGUCAGACCUGAAAUGCCACAGCUUAACUGUGGAACUGCGUUUGAAACUGUUUAUCUUGAGUGCAGGACAAGAAAGCGGAAUUCCUAGUGUAGCGGUGGAAAUGCCUAGAUUUUUAGAGGAACCCCCGUGGGCGAAGGCGGGCUUUCUGGACUGUUAACUGACGCU